rnacentral:misc_RNA from 1 species
AACGCAUAUUGCGCCCCUUGGUACUCCGAGGGGCACACCUGUUCGAGCGUCAUUGCACCCAUCAUGCCUUGCAUGGUGUUGGGAGGGGUCCUUUCCGACCCUCCUGGAACUCGUUGGCGGUGCCCUUGCGCGGUCGUAGCACGCACGCGACGAACCGUGGAAGCGGCGCCCGCCUACGCUCUCUUUCAAAAGUUUGACCUCGGAUCAGGUGGGGAUACCCGCUGAACUUAA